rnacentral:rRNA from 1 species
GACGAACGCUGGCGGCGUGCCUAAUACAUGCGAGUAGAACGCACAGUUUAUACCGUAGCUUGCUACACCAUAAACUGUGAGUUGCGAACGGGUGAGUAACGCGUAGGUAACCUGCCUGGUAGCGGGGGAUAACUAUUGGAAACGAUAGCUAAUACCGCAUAAUAUUGAUUAUUGCAUGAUAAUUGAUUGAAAGAUGCUAUUGCAUCACUACCAGAUGGACCUGCGUUGUAUUAGCUAGUAGGUGAGGUAACGGCUCACCUAGGCGACGAUACAUAGCCGACCUGAGAGGGUGAUCGGCCACACUGGGACUGAGACACGGCCCAGACUCCUACGGGAGGCAGCAGUAGGGAAUCUUCGGCAAUGGACGAAAGUCUGACCGAGCAACGCCGCGUGAGUGAAGAAGGGUUUCGGAUCGUAAAGCUCUGUUGUAAGAGAAGAACGGGUGUGAGAGUGGAAAGUUCACACUGUGACGGUAUCUUAACAGAAAGGGACGGCUAACUACGUG